rnacentral:rRNA from 1 species
AACGAACGCUGGCGGCAUGCCUAACACAUGCGAGUCGAACGAGACCUUCGGGUCUAGUGGCGCACGGGUGCGUAACGCGUGGGAACCUGCCCUUAGGUUCGGAAUAACUCCCCGAAAGGGGUGCUAAUACCGGAUAAUGUCUUCGGACCAACGAUUUAGCGCCUUUGGAUGGGCCCGCGUUGGAUUAGCUAGUUGGUAGGGUAAAAGCCUACCAAGGGGACGAGCCAUAACUGGUCUGAGAGGAUGAUCAGCCACACUGGGACUGAGACACGGCCCAGACUCCUACGGGAGGCAGCAGUGGGGAAUAUUGGACAAUGGGCGAAAGCCUGAUCCAGCAAUGCCGCGUGAGUGAUGAAGGCCUUAGGGUUGUAAAGCUCUUUUACCCGGGAUGAUAAUGACAGUACCGGGAGAAUAAGCUCCGGCUAACUCCGUG